rnacentral:rRNA from 1 species
UACGUAGGAGACGAGCGUUGUCCGGAAUUACUGGGCGUAAAGCGCGUGUAGGCGGAUGAGCAAGUCUGCUGUGAAAGCUCCUGGCUUAACCGGGAGUGGUCGGUGGAAACUGCUCGUCUGGAGGACGGUAGAGGUAGGUAGAAUUCCCGGUGUAGUGGUGAAAUGCGUAGAGAUCCGGAGGAACACCAGUGGCGAAGGCGACACGCUGGGCCGUACCUGACACUGAUGCGCGACAGCAUGGGGAGCAAACAGG